GACAGAGGGUGCAAACGUUGCUCGGAAUUACUGGGCGUAAAGGGCGUGUAGGCGGGAAGGCAAGUCGGGCGUGAAAGCCCCAGGCUCAACCUGGGAACUGCACUCGAAACUGCCUUUCUUGAGUGCCGGAGAGGAAAGCGGAAUUCCUGGUGUAGAGGUGAAAUUCGUAGAUAUCAGGAGGAACACCAGUGGCGAAGGGCGGCUUUCUGGACGGUAACUGACGCUGAGACGCGAAAGCGUGGGGGAGCAAACAGG
rnacentral:rRNA from 1 species